rnacentral:rRNA from 1 species
GGGAUUGCCUUAGUAACGGCGAGUGAAGCGGCAACAGCUCAAAUUUGAAAGCUGGCCCUUUUAGGGUCCGCGUUGUAAUUUGUAGAGGAUGAUUCGGCGAGGGCUCCUGCCUAAGUCCCCUGGAACGGGGCGUCAUAGAGGGUGAGAAUCCCGUAUGCGGUAGGUUGCCUUAGCCAUGUGAAUCUCCUUCGACGAGUCGAGUUGUUUGGGAAUGCAGCUCUAAAUGGGAGGUAAAUUUCUUCUAAAGCUAAAUACUGGCCAGAGACCGAUAGCGCACAAGUAGAGUGAUCGAAAGAUGAAAAGCACUUUGGAAAGAGAGUUAAAAAGUACGUGAAAUUGUUGAAAGGGAAGCGCUUGCAACCAGACUUGUCCGCAGUUGCUCAGCCGGUCUCCUGACCGGCGUACUCUUCUGCGGCCAGGCCAGCAUCAGUUCGGGCGGUCGGAUAAAGGCCUCGGGAAUGUAGCUCCUCUCGGGGAGUGUUAUAGCCCGGGGUGGAAUGCGACCAGCCUGGACUGAGGAUCUCGCUUCGGCAAGGAUGCUGGCGUAAUGGUUGUAAGCGGCCCGUCUUGAAACACGGACCAAGGAGUCUAACAUCUAUGCGAGUGUUCGGGUGUCAAACCCGUACGCGUAAUGAAAGUGAACGGAGGUGGGAACCCGCAAGGGUGCACCAUCGGCCGAUCCUGAUGUCUUCGGAUGGAUUUGAGCAAGAGCAUAGCUGUUGGGACCCGAAAGAUGGUGAACUAUGCCUGAAUAGGGUGAAGCCAGAGGAAACUCUGGUGGAGGCUCGCAGCGGGUUCUGACGUGCAAAUCGAUCGUCAA